rnacentral:lncRNA from 1 species
UUUGUUUUGAGGAAGAUUAGCCCUCAGCUAACUACUGCCAGUCCUCCUCUUUUUGCUGAGGAAGCCUGGCUCUGAGCUAACAUCCAUGCCCAUCUUCCUCUAGUUUAUACGUGGGACGCCUACCACAGCAUGGCUGCCAAGCAGUGCCAUGUCCGCACCCGGGAUCCGAACCAGCGAACCCCGGGCCGCCGAGAAGCGGAACGUGCGAACUUAACCGCUGCGCCACCGGGCCGGCCCCCUUGGGCUACAGCAAUCUUAGUUUAAAACUAUCCUCUCCGCAAAGAAGGCCCCACAGACUGCAUGAUUUCUUUAUAUAAAAGUGGGCAAACUGAUGUAUGAUGAUCAAUUAAAAUAAUGGUCACCCUUUGGGGAGAACUAACCCUGAGAGACCGCAAAGGAGCCUUCUAGGUGCUGGAAAUAUUCCAAAUCUUGAUGCGAUGGUUACAGCAAUGUCUACAUAUGUAAAAUUUUUCAGGCUGUGUGGUGAAGAUUUAUGUGCUUUUAUCAGUAACUCAUAUAAGGAAACAGACUUAUUAUCCUCUCUAAAUUCUUGCUAUCUGUGAUAUUAUAGUUUAUAAUGAGACACAUAUAUUUGUGCUUUCCGGGCACAGAGCUCCUAAAGCCUUUGGCAUUUCCUAAGUGAGGAGAAUGAUAAAGACGUCUUUGUUAUGUUAAUGAGGUGACUUCUGGCAUGCCCCUAAGUCACCUAAGGAUGGGGGCUGGUUGCCAGGGGAACCAACCAUGUGAUUAGAGAGUUGGAACUUUCAGUCCCAUCCCCCAGACCUCCCGGGAGGGCAGAGGGGCUGGAGGUUGAAUCAAUCACCAACGGCCAAUGAUUUAAUCAAUCGUGCCUAUGUAAGGAAGCCUCCAUAAAAACCCAAAAAGGACAGGGUCCGAAGAGCUUCCUGGUUGAACACGUGGAGAGGUGGGAAGAGCUGUGCGCCUGGAGAGGGCAUGGACGCUCCGAGACCCCGCCCGGACGUCUCUUCCGUCUGGCGGUUACUGAAUUAUAUCCUUUUACAAUGCACCGGUGAUCUAGUAAUUCUGGUGGGCGAAGACUGUCAUGGCUAGAGGAGCUGGGAUUCCACUGCUGAACCAACAUGCCACUGGAGUGAAAUCCUCAGCUGUGCCUUCAUGCCCGUUCCUGAUCAUUUCAAAAUUUCUCCACUAUUUCUAGGGCCGGCCUGGUGGUGUAGCAGGCAUGCUGAGACCUCAGUGAUAUGGACUAGCAAAGUGGAAGAGGAGCUGAGAACCAUCAAGGCCAAGACCAAGAGAGCAAAUUUGAUCACACACUUGGUCCUAGGGAAGUGUAUUUUGCAUUUUUAAACAGAACAUUUUCCAUAACUGAACCUUUAAACAUGUUGGUAUAGUCUAUGCACCUGUUUUUCAAGAUGAAGAAAGACAUAAUAUUCUGCAGAAAAAUGUCCCCAAUUCAGAGCCCAUCAUUUGCUUUACCUUUUUAUAUCCAAACAAGGUUAGAUAAUUCCAACUGUAUUUUAAGAAAUAUCCUUUACAUAGGGGAUUUGCACUGAUCUGAUCUUGACAUCGUGUGGACAGGGGUGUGCCAACACAUCUAGUCUGGAUCAAGAAAAAAAUAUUUUUAAAGGAUGAAGGAAAUCUAUUUGGGUUGUAAAGAAAUCAUAACUUUGAAAUUUUUUUUGGAUUAUAUCACAGUUUGCUCAUAUAUGCAUUUUACUUAGCAUUUUGAAAUAUACCAACUGAAAUAUUUAUUACUAGAUUUAAUAGCUUGGAUUUACUAGGAAAGGAAGAAAAGCCAGAUGAUACAAGUUUAAAUCAUCUGAAACGGGUAUUGCAGAAAUUUUACUGGUGCAGUUGGAAAUGGAAACCACUCUAGUUAUGCCAAGCAGGAAGUUAUUUAACACAGGGAAUUAGACGCUCACAUAAUCGUUGGAAGGGAUGGAGGAGGAGGAGUCUGGAGGGGCCGCCAUGGUCUUUCAGAUCACACUGAUGGAACUGAGAUCCAAAGAUGAGGAAAGUCCAGAAAACUCCAGAAAAGCAUCUAGUUCCAUGCCCUCCUCUCCACAAAGCUGGUGUCUAAACAGUGAUGUGGGGAAUCUGGCCACUGCAAAAAUUCAUUUCUGUUAAGAACUAUCAGCAACCCCUGCUACAAGAUGAUUUGUCUCUCCUCCUCCAUCCAAAUCUCACAUGAAUUGAUGGAACUUAAAUUGUAUCUAGUUAGCGGAAGGCUGUCUGGGAAAUAAAAUUUUCAACCCUCUAGCCCUCAUAAUAGAAGGAGGAAUGCCAAGUGCUAAUUGACAAUAUCUGGGACUGAAGACAUAUAUACGCAUUUGGAAAUACCAUAUGUAUAUAUGUUAUGUGGUUUAGCAUGUCCCAAAGAAUAUUUUAUGGAACAUUCAUUCGGCAGGUAUCAAUCAGGAAGAAACGGGAUUCAUGAUGAAAAGGGUCUAGGGAUCCUUGCAUGCCCAUCUUUUGGAGAGUCGCGGGGCAUAUUAGCAUAUUAAAGAUCUUGAGAAGGCCUACAGCAGAGAAGUCCUCUUUUCCUGUCUGGAGGGCACACAAUAUACUAUAACAGUGGUUGUCUCUGGGAAGUGGAAAUAGGGCAUCAAUGACCGUUACUUGCCACUUUCUACCCUUCUAAACCAACAGGAUUUGAUACAAUGGUGAGAAAUUUUCAUCUUUUAUAAAAAUAAGGUUUGUUUUCCUUCUAAGGUUCAAAUAAAAAUUUUAGGUGUAAAAGCUGUGGGUGUGAGCCCCAUGGAUGAAGGAGCCCGUGUGCUUUUUACACCAGAGGAACAAUACGAGUGUUUUCAAAGUGAGAUCUUUGGACUCCCUGUAUCAGAAUCCCCUGGGGGAAGAGUGG